AUUAAACUGAUCUCUAAUCUAUUCUCUAACUCAAAUCUCGAACCCUAACUAAAAUUAGAAGACAGAAGAUUCUUGAGGCUGAUCCUGUUCAAGACCCAUCUCUUUAUAUGAUGAUAGAAAAAUAAAAAAAAGUCAUUCAUUGCAUUAUUUGCUGAGAAUAUUGCCAAAAUAGCCUUCUUGAACUCUGUCCUUUCUUCAUAGAGAAAGAGGUAGAAAUUGAAUCCAACAUUAAGAUAAUACCAAGUGCAGACAAACCCCCUUCUUUGGAAAAUUUGAAUCAAGUCGAUGGAAAAUUAAACGAAUCCUACAAGACAAAUGAAUGAAUCAUGAAUGAUGGCGUCCGCAUAGCACGUGUGACUGUUAAUUUGGCUCAUAUAUAUAUAUAAGACGUAUUUUUUCUGCGGUUGAUCCCCCAUGCGGAUGAUUGCUGACGUUCCAUCCGACCGUCCCCUCCUCUAUUCGAUUCCUGACCAUUCCGUCGGUGAGGUCCUUAAUGAUGACCGUCGGAUUGAUAGUUCAG
rnacentral:lncRNA from 1 species